CUACGGGCGGCAGCAGUGGGGAAUAUUGCACAAUGGGCGCAAGCCUGAUGCAGCAACGCCGCGUGGAGGAUGACGCAUUUCGGUGUGUAAACUCCUUUUAUAUGUCAAGAAAAUGACGGUAGCAUAUGAAUAAGCACCGGCUAACUCCGUGCCAGCAGCCGCGGUAAUACGGAGGGUGCAAGCGUUACUCGGAAUCACUGGGCGUAAAGGACGCGUAGGCGGGUUGGAAAGUCAGGUGUGAAAUCCUACAGCUUAACUGUAGAACUGCACUUGAAACUUCUAAUCUAGAGUAUGGGAGGGGGAGAUGGAAUUAGUGGUGUAGGGGUAAAAUCCGUAGAUAUCACUAGGAAUACCUAAAGCGAAGGCGAUCUCCUGGAACAUUACUGACGCUAAGGCGUGAAAGCGUGGGGAGCAAACAGGAUUAGAUACCCCCGUAGUC
rnacentral:rRNA from 1 species